rnacentral:rRNA from 1 species
UAACUACGUGCCAGCAGCCGCGGUAAGACGUAGGACGCGAGCGUUAUCCGGAUUUACUGGGCGUAAAGCGUGUGUAGGCGGCGUGACAAGUUGGGCGUGAAAGCCCCGUGCUCAACGCGGGGAGGCCGCACAAUACUGUCAGGCUAGAGGGCAUCAGAGGGGUGUGGAAUUCCCGGAGUAGCGGUAAAAUGCGCAGAUAUCGGGAGGAACACCGGUGGCGAAAGCGGCACCCUGGGGUGCACCUGACGCUGAGAGACGACAGCUAGGGGAGCGAACAGGAUUAGAGACCCUGGUAGUCCUAGCCGUAAACGAUGGAUGCUAGGUGUGGGAGUGAAGAACUUCUGUGCCGCAGCGAACGCGAUAAGCAUCCCGCCUGGGGAGUACGGCCGCAAGGUUAAAACUCAAACGAAUUGACGGGGACCCGCACAAGCAGCGGAGCGUGUGGUUUAAUUCGAUGCUACACGAAGAACCUUACCUGGGAUUGACAUAUGGGUGGUAGUGAGCCGAAAGGCAAGCGACCCUUCGGGGAGCCUAUACAGGUGCUGCAUGGCUGCCGUCAGCUCGUGCCGUGAGGUGUCGGGUUAAGUCCCGUAACGAGCGCAACCCCUGUCCUUAGUUACAAGUGUCUAAGGGGACUGCCGGCGGGAAGCCGGAGGAAGGUGGGGAUGACGUCAAGUCAGCAUGGCCCUUAUAUCCAGGGCGACACACACGCUACAAUGGUCGGUACAGAGGGCAGCGAAGCCGCGAGGUGGAGCGAAACCCAGAAAGCCGGUCGUAGUUCGGAUUGCAGGCUGCAACUCGCCUGCAUGAAGUU